CCUGGUUUCCGUGUCCAAUAUUUGACCGUCCGUCUUAUUUGAAAAAAAUAUAAAAAAAUUAAAAAAAUAAGUCACGUAUAAAGUAUUAAUUAUGUUUUACCAUCUAACAACAAUAAAAAUACUAAUUAUAAAAAAAAUUUAUAUAAGACAUACAGUCAAAUGUUGAACACGGAAACUCAGGGUUUGUCUUUUU
rnacentral:pre_miRNA from 1 species